CGCGAUGGGCGCCAUAAGGCUUAGAAGCAGCGGGGUAGACAUGCUCGAUUUUCGAUCUUGCCCAUGGUGGCGCGUCGAACGUUUGAAAACAUUUCUGGCGUUUUUCCCGUUUUCCCUACUGAUACUGAUGCUUGGAUUGCUUCACACACCGGCUUUUUUACGUGAAAAGGGCAUACAACAGGCGCAUAGAGCGGUAGAACCAGUACCAGAGACCAGGUCGCCAGAACCAUCCAUCAAAACCGUUUCACAAAAUUAGAAGAUUUAAUGUGAAAGUUUGUUACAGAUGAAUACACAGUCUCUGCGCCACUUUGUACUGCUACAAAGUUACAACGGAUUGCAAACGGGACGACGGGGAACUUCAGAAAGCAUGUCUGCGGUGAAUUCAUAAACAUUGCACUUCUGUAAAUGUUAUGACACAUUAUUUGUUGCAUUUGUUGAAACUUUAUUCACAACCAAAGACUUGACCAAAGUAUAACACUGUAUAGAUACCUAUCUUACAACUGCAAUAUGGAAUAUCUAGCCUUUUUUGUUGACGAGGUUGUCAAAAUGAUCAUACUUGGCGCGUUUUACUCUCUACCCAUGUGCUUGCCAAUAUAUGAAGCAAACUUAAACUGCUUUAACUUCGUUGACGCAUAUAGAGUACACAACAUUCUUCCAUCUUUGGGGACACUCAUUACAUAAAUCCCUAAUGGAAAUCGUUUUACGCAAAACAAAUAUUCAGUUUUAUGUCAAAAGAUAAAUCACAGCAUUUGUCAAAUUAGCAGAAGGCUUGAUUUUGUGGAAUUUUACAAGUUAACAUGUGGUAAAUAAUUAAUCUUUAGGAUAAAUUGCUUGAAGCCAAGGCCUUGGGAUGUAUCUACUGCCAUCAUAGAAUUCAAAAUAUUCAUCUAUAUUAGGAUGAAUAACAUGGACAUUUGUUAGUAGUUCUAGAUUCUCAUCUGGUGUAUAGGUGAAUUGUGGAUUAAGGCGAUCUCUGGUAUCAAUGGCAAUCAAAUAGUUUGGCUGAUCUGCUUCUUUGGUUUUAUAAAGCUCUUUUAAAUAUUCAGGGGGAGCUUGGGCUUUAUAAUCCCAUCCAACAAUGACUCCCCUCAACUGUUUAUAUUUGUGCAUAACAACAUCCCCUAUUCGAAAGCGUAUCUUCGGAGACCUUACAUAACGAGGUACAGUUGAACUAGCAAACAUGUUGUUCUGAAGAUUUCUAAAUUCCAAGACUUCUUUUGCUGGAGAUUCAUCAGCUAGUUUGUCUCCCUGACCAGAUAACCCUGGUGGUAACACUAAGAAAGAAAAUGUAAACUAUUGAUCACUUUAAAAAAAUUACAUGUGACAUAUUGUCCUUACCUGUUAUAUAUUCAGCUAAUGUGAUAAUAGUCUCCCAACAAUUUUGACUAUGUAGUGUAAGAAAAUUUUGGCAGCCAUCCAUAAAUUCUAUGACUGCCUGCAGUACUGGAUGGGGUUGUUGGAAUUCAUGGGACAACCAGAACUGGAAAGGUACAACCAACAGC